rnacentral:rRNA from 1 species
GACGAACGCUGGCGGCGUGCCUAAUACAUGCAAGUCGAGCGGAAGUUGGAGAGCUUGCUCUUCAACUUUAGCGGCGGACGGGUGAGUAACACGUGGGCAACCUGCCCUGCAGAUCGGGAUAACUCCGGGAAACCGGUGCUAAUACCGAAUAGUUUUCGCCACCUCCUGGUGGCGUACGGAAAGACGGUUUCGGCUGUCACUGCAGGAUGGGCCCGCGGCGCAUUCGGUAGUUGGUGGGGUAACGGCCCACCAAGGCGACGAGGCGUAGCCGACCGGAGAGGGUGAUCGGCCACACUGGGACUGGGACACGGCCCAGACACCAACGGGAGGCAGCAGUAGGGAAUCUUCCGCAAUGGACGAAAGUCUGACGGAGCAACGCCGCGUGAGUGACGAAGGUUUUCGGAUCGUAAAACUCUGUUGCGAGGGAAGAACAAGUACCAACUAACUACUGGUACCUUGACGGUACCUCACCAGAAAGCCACGGCUAACUACGUGCCAGCAGCCGCCGUAA